rnacentral:rRNA from 1 species
UACGUAGGGGGCAAGCGUUGUCCGGAAUCAUUGGGCGUAAAGAGCUCGUAGGCGGCUCAGUUAGUCGGGUGUGAAACCCCCGGGCUCAACCCGGGGACGCCACCCGAUACUGCUGUGGCUAGAGUCCGGUAGGGGAGCGUGGAAUUCCUGGUGUAGCGGUGAAAUGCGCAGAUAUCAGGAGGAACACCAGCGGCGAAGGCGGCGCUCUGGGCCGGAACUGACGCUGAGGAGCGAAAGCGUGGGGAGCGAACAGG